rnacentral:rRNA from 1 species
CGUAGGUGGCUUUGUAAGUCGGAUGUGAAAUCCCCAGGCUUAACCUGGGAACUGCAUUCGAAACUGCAUUGCUAGAGUAUGGGAGAGGGCAGUGGAAUUUCAGGUGUAGCGGUGAAAUGCGUAGAUAUCUGAAGGAACAUCAGUGGCGAAAGCGACUGCCUGGACCAAUACUGACGCUCAUGUGCGAAAGCGUGGGGAGCAAACAGGAUUAGAUACCCUGGUAGUCCACGCCAUAAGCGAUGACAACUGGAUGUCGGGAGGGUUAGCCUCUCGGUGUCGUAGCUAACGCGUUAAGUUGUCCGCCUGGGGAGUACGGCCGCAAGGUUGAAACUCAAAUGAAUUGA